rnacentral:rRNA from 1 species
AUACGUAGGGGGCGAGCGUUGUCCGGAAUGAUUGGGCGUAAAGGGCGCGUAGGCGGCCCGGUAAGUCUGGAGUGAAAGUCCUGUUUUUAAGAUGGGAAUUGCUUUGGAUACUGUCGGGCUUGAGUGCAGGAGAGGUAAGUGGAAUUCCCAGUGUAGCGGUGAAAUGCGUAGAGAUUGGGAGGAACACCAGUGGCGAAGGCGGCUGUCUGGACUGUAACUGACGCUGAGGCGCGAAAGUGUGGGGAGCAAACAGGAUUAGAUACCCUGGUAGUCCAUGCCGUAAACGAUGAGUGCUAGGUGUUGGAGGGUUACCGCCCUUCAGUGCCGCAGCUAACGCAUUAAGCACUCCGCCUGGGGAGUACGACCGCAAGGUUGAAACUCAAAUGAAUUGACGGGG